GGUAGCCGGCCUGAGAGGGNGACCGGCCACACUGGGACUGAGANACGGCCCAGACUCCUACGGGAGGCAGCAGUGGGGAAUAUUGCGCAAUGGGCGAAAGCCUGANGCAGCGACGCCGCGUGAGGGAUGAAGGCCUUCGGGUUGUAAACCUCUUUCAGCAGGGACGAAGCGAAAGUGACNGUACCUGCAGAAGAAGCACCGGCUAACUACGUGCCAGCAGCCGCGGUAAUACGUAGGGUGCAAGCGUUGUCCGGAAUUAUUGGGCGUAAAGAGCUCGUAGGCGGUUUGUCGCGUCGGAUGUGAAAACUUGGGGCUCAACCCCNAGCCUGCAUUCGAUACGGGCAAACUAGAGUUCGGUAGGGGA
rnacentral:rRNA from 1 species